rnacentral:sRNA from 1 species
CGGCGGCGCAGUAUUCUAGUCAGAUCCGCCGUCCCCUAAGGAGGGCCUAAAAAUCCUCUGAAGGGCAUACCGGUGAAACCUCUGGUGCCUGCUUGAUACGCCCAGUUUCGGGUGGGUGCUGGGGGGAAGCGUGUUUUUUUCUUCGCGCUUGCGGACUCAGGGCGCUUUCCAAUGGCAUGGUUAUCCCGACCCUGUUUCCGUGGAGACCUGCUCUUGUGCACAGACGUACUCCCAUCGUGGUAUUUCCGGCCUGUGUACGAAGCAGACUAUGAACCUGUAAUGCGGUGCAUCGGCCCUGCGGGGCCGUAACGCUGUGUGCAGAUGUAGCCUGCCUUGCGUGGGGCGGGUGGAUGGAGGAACCACGCGGCGGGCAUCCCGGCCAGGAUGCCGCCGUGAUCGCCUGCUGAAACCCGUUCUGCAAAAGAGGCUAAAGGGACGGAUGGACUGGGGUGGAAAACACCUAGGCUGUCCUGACGGGACGGAAAAGGGAUUGCAGUGCGGACUAAGUGGCAAUCGGGUAGCAUGGACCGGCAACGCUGUGCAGCGGCUCUGAAAGGGGAACCGCCUCCACCGGCAACGGGAGGUGCGCCGCUGGGAAAGCCAACCCGUACCUAAGCCGUAAGAUUUACCUUUUCCGCCGCCGCCUGC